UACGUAGGGGGCGAGCGUUGUUCGGAAUUAUUGGGUGUAAAGGGCUCGUAGGCGGCCUUCUAAGUCUGGAUUCAAAUACCCACCGCUUACCGGGGGGAAGGGUCUGGAUACUGGAGGGCUUGAGUGCAGAAGGGGAAUGUGGAAUUCCAGGUGUAGCGGUGAAAUGCGUAGAUAUCUGGAGGAACACCGGUGGCGAAGGCGGCAUUCUGGUCUGCAACUGACGCUGAGGAGCGAAAGCCAGGGGAGCGAACGGGAUUAGAUACCCCGGUAGUCCUGGCCGUAAACGUUGGACACUAGGUAUGGGAGGUAUCGACCCCUUCCGUGCCGAAGCAAACGCAUUAAGUGUCCCACCUGGGGAGUACGACCGCAAGGUUGAA
rnacentral:rRNA from 1 species